GCCGGGUGCGGUGGCUCACACCUGUAAUCCCAGCACUUUGGGAGGCUGAGGCAGGUGGAUCACCUGAGGUCAAGAGUUCAAGACCAGCUUGACCAAUAUGGUGAAACCCCGUCUCUA
rnacentral:SRP_RNA from 1 species